CAGAAAAGAUGCAGAAUGUAGUGUUUGCUUUUAGUUUAUUAAUUUAUUUUGCAGGAAUCUUUGACUUUCCGAAUAUGUACUGUUUGGAGGUACGUUGCAUGCAUAGCCUUGUAAGAUGCCUUUGUACAAUUUCAUCUCAAAAUAAUUUCAUUCACAGCAUACACAGAAAUCUAAGAGACAUGGUAUUUACAAGAUUUAAUAAGUUCUUGCUGCUUUAAUGAAGAAACUGAUCAAUUCUUUUACAGUAGGGCAAGAAUCAUGGACAUUGGGCGUCAUUAUAAAUAAGAAUUCAGAAUUGUUCAGUCUCAAAGCAACUUUCCAUGGCUUUAGAAAUUAAAAUUGAGUCAUCAUCUAUUAAUCUCUGAAUGCCCAAGCCAUGCAAAGUCUACUUGUAUUAAAUAUUUGGGGAUGCAAAUAAUACAGGAACAAAAAGGGAUCAUGUCUGGUGAAUGUGAAAACAUCAUCAGAAUUAACUUUUACAACAGGAAAAUACUGUUAAUUCUUUCAAAUAGAUACAGUAGUGGUGCAACACAGACAGUGCCCGAUUUAUUCUGAUUUUUUUUAAGGUAACAUUUCAAUUGUCAUUUUUUCUUUCUCUACAGAUAUACAGACACACACUGUAACAUGGACUCAUUCAAGGUCUAACAAUGAUACGAUAUUAAAAUAAUUCAGUUUUUAACUAUAAAGGGACAUCUUCACAUUCCAGGAUACAUCAUUGAUAUUUUUAAAGGACAAUUCUUCUAUGCCUUAUAGUCAGUCUUUCUCUUUGUUUAUACUUUCAGAAAGACACUGCAAUUGCCUUUUAAAAGACUAUAUAAACUGAGUUGCCACAGGAAGUUGGAUAUGAACCCUAGAUAACUGUGACAAGGCAAUAACAAAAUUUAAGGAAACAUUGAUUUCUUUUAAUAAUUAAAAAGUACUAAAAUUGAGACCAGCUCCUUAAAAAUUAAACUGCUUAUCACACUUCCCACUGCUUUCAGGGAAAUAAACAAAUUAGCAACACUUUCCCCACCAUCAUUAAUCUGCUCUAAAACUACAUUUUUACAAUGCAUUUCUUUCAUUUCUUUACCCCCCACCCCCCGCCUCUCCUUUCUCUCAAACAAGUUCAAUAUGAAUUCCAAACAUUUUACAAUGUUUGGAGAGUUUCUGACUCCUCUAUUACCACUUUAAACUUUUAAGAACCACUCCAAAGUUUAAGGGGUAAUGUACUUUAACAGGAUGGCAAACGUGCUUUCUAAAAACCCAGUUUACAAAACAGCAAAACCAUGGAAAAUGUAUAGCCAGGUCUAUUUAUUACCAGAUAUACCCAACUAGCUGUAUUUUAAGAAACUCUCUGACAAUAAACAAGAAGUGUACCAACUGACCCAAAGCGCACAGGCACCUCAGCAGCCGGGCACCAUCCAAUUUUCAGUCUAUCACUCACAUGCCAAUUGUCUGUCUGUACCAAUCUGACUAGAUUCUUUGGGAAAGGCACCCUGAAAGUCGGGUGCCUUCUUGUUCAAACAGAUAAGUAGUCUGCAUAUGGGACACGGUGUUUAAACAGACGAGUAGUAGUCCGUAUAUGGGACACAGUUAAGUCUAUCAGAUUCAACAGCGUCAGAUCAUUUAGCUUAUUUUAAAAAUGAAAUAAAGCCUACGUUGGCAUAUUGCAAUUUGUGCACGAUUAAAAAUGAGUACAAACUUCCUUGAAAUCAGUCUCUGAUGUCUCAUACCCCAUCCUCCAUACCUUUCCAACAGACUGUUUUCUCAUUCUUCCUGGCAGGUGAAAACAAUGAUUGACUAGAUAUAUCACCAAAAGACUGAAACCAUGCAUCUACUGUAUGACAACAGCUUAUUAACCUUGAUGUAUUUUCAUGCAAUAGUUUUAAAGUCAUCUACAUGGUUUUAAUAAAGCAUCAGACUGUUUUCAGACAUGCUACUUUCAUUCUCAACUGACAACUGCCAAGUUAAUUGCCGCCACUUCGGAACAUCACUAUGAAUACUGGGAAACCUUUUUAGCUAGAACACCAAGCAGUAUAUAUAUAUUUUCUCCCUCAAUUUUACUUAAAACCAAGUAGGGUACACCAUCACUAAAGAGAUAUGAAACCAUACAAAGGCAAAGGCAUAUUACAGAACAGUAGGACUGCUCGACUUUUAUUAGAGACUGACAGAGACCAGUGUUACAAAAGCCUUGAAAGAAUGCUGUUCUCAGGUCCAUUUUUAAGCCCAUCUGCUUUUUCACCAUUAUUUUCACAGUUUUGCCACAGUGGUAUACGAGAGAUGUUUUAACAGUGUAAUGACAUAACCAUGCUUACUUUGGGAGACAAGUGGAUAUAUAUUAGGGAAUUUUCCACAUAUAAAAAACAUGUUUUCAAAGCUGUAGGCAGAGUGUGAAACUAUGAUUUUGAUGGAAAACUGACAAGUUAUUAUGCCUUUGGUUUCAUUAUGCUACUAAGUGCAGCUUGUUUUUCCAGGUCUGCCUGAAACUACUGCAAAAUUAGCAUAUAAAUGACAGCAUGAAGGGUGUGUGUGUGUGUGUGUGUGUGGCAGGGAGGGGGCACCUGGUAAGGGAGAGUGGAUAUUCCCAAGGUACAACCUCUGGUAAAAAUCCUUUAGGAUGGGAAAACCUAUCAACUUUAUUGCUGUUUAUUAUAUUCACCAAAAUGAGGGGAGAUUCCAAACUCCAAUUCUGAGCUAAGGAAGUUCAACAAUGGCAGAGACUUUAAUUAAAUCUGCUAUUAUUCAUUUUCCAGUGAUGUACCCUAGUGAGUCACAUGGUUUUGUACCUCUUCAGUUAUCCAUGCUCUGAAGUUGUUUCACAAGGAGCGCGUUCAUAUCACCUAAAUUGCCUGAAUGAACGCAAUAUAAUCUCUGAAUACAGUAAUGUUAAUUUUAUAAAACUGUUUGUCUCAAAGUUCACUCUUUCUCUUAAAAAUGUUUCUUGACAAUCUGUCCCUUACUCCCCAACUAAUAUAGUAUGCAACUUUAUACCGGCCAACUGUAAUUUCCCUCACAGUGGUUUAUCAUCACAUGUGCAAAUAGAUCUUUAUUGAACAGCUAGUAUUGAUUUU